UACGUAGGGUGCGAGCGUUAAUCGGAAUUACUGGCGUAAAGCGUGCGCAGGCGGCGCGUUAAGACAGGUGUGAAAGCCCCGAGCUUAACUUGGGAAUUGCGCUUGUGACUGGCGUGCUGGAGUGUGGCAGAGGGAGGUGGAAUUCCGACGUGUAGCAGUGAAAUCGCGUAGAGAUGAUGGAGGAACACCGAUGGCGAAGGCAGCCUCCUGGGCCA
rnacentral:rRNA from 1 species